UCUUCAUUUUCCACACUCUCUCACCAGUCAGAGAGGCGAGAGAGUGUACAAAAUGAAGAGA
rfam:Pristionchus pacificus strain PS312 contig5069, whole genome shotgun sequence.